GGCCAGCAGCCGCGGUAAUACGUAGGGGGCAAGCGUUGUCCGGAUUCAUUGGGCGUAAAGAGCGUGUAGGCGGCCAGGUAGGUCGGUUGUGAAAACUGGAGGCUCAACCUUCAGACGUCGACCGAAACCAUCUGGCUAGAGUCCGGGAGAGGAGAGUGGAAUUCCUGGUGUAGCGGUGAAAUGCGCAGAUAUCAGGAAGAACACCCGUGGCGAAAGCGGCUCUCUGGAACGGUACUGACGCUGAGACGCGAAAGCGUGGGGAGCGAACAGGAUUAGAUACCCUGGUAGUCCACGCCGUAAACGAUGGGCGCUAGGUGUGGGAGGUGUCGACUCCUUCCGUGCCGCAGCUAACGCAUUAAGCGCCCCGCCUGGGGAGUACGGCCGCAAGGCUAAAACUUAAAGGAAUUGGCGGGGGA
rnacentral:rRNA from 1 species